GACGAACGCUGGCGGCGUGCCUAAUACAUGCAAGUAGAACGCUGAGGGAGGAGCUUGCUCUUCUGGAUGAGUUGCGAACGGGUGAGUAACGCGUAGGUAACCUGCCUGGUAGCGGGGGAUAACUAUUGGAAACGAUAGCUAAUACCGCAUAACAGUAGAUAUUGCAUGAUAUCUGCUUGAAAGGUGCAAAUGCAUCACUACCAGAUGGACCUGCGUUGUAUUAGCUAGUUGGUGAGGUAACGGCUCACCAAGGCGACGAUACAUAGCCGACCUGAGAGGGUGAUCGGCCACACUGGGACUGAGACACGGCCCAGACUCCUACGGGAGGCAGCAGUAGGGAAUCUUCGGCAAUGGACGGAAGUCUGACCGAGCAACGCCGCGUGAGUGAAGAAGGUUUUCGGAUCGUAAAGCUCUGUUGUAAGAGAAGAACGAGUGUGAGAGUGGAAAGUUCACACUGUGACGGUAUCUUACCAGAAAGGGACGGCUAACUACGUGCCAGCAGCCGCGGUAAUACGUAGGUCCCGAGCGUUGUCCGGAUUUAUUGGGCGUAAAGCGAGCGCAGGCGGUUAGAUAAGUCUGAAGUUAAAGGCUGUGGCUUAACCAUAGUACGCUUUGGAAACUGUUUAACUUGAGUGCAAGAGGGGAGAGUGGAAUUCCAUGUGUAGCGGUGAAAGGCGUAGAUAUAUGGAGGAACACCGGUGGCGAAAGCGGCUCUCUGGCUUGUAACUGACGCUGAGGCUCGAAAGCGUGGGGAGCAAACAGG
rnacentral:rRNA from 1 species